rnacentral:rRNA from 1 species
AUUGAACGCUGGCGGAAUGCUUUACACAUGCAAGUCGAACGGCAGCACGGACUUCGGUCUGGUACACGAGUGGCGAACGGGUGAGUAACACGUGGGUGAUCUGCCCUGCACUUCGGGAUAAGCCUGGGAAACUGGGUCUAAUACCGGAUAGGACUCCUGGCUUCAUGGUUGGGGGUGGAAAGCUUUUGCGGUGUGGGAUGGGCCCGCGGCCUAUCAGCUUGUUGGUGGGGUAAUGGCCUACCAAGGCGACGACGGGUAGCCGGCCUGAGAGGGUGACCGGUCACACUGGGACUGAGAUACGGCCCAGACUCCUACGGGAGGCAGCAGUGGGGAAUAUUGCACAAUGGGCGCAAGCCUGAUGCAGCGACGCCGCGUGAGGGAUGACGGCCUUCGGGUUGUAAACCUCUUUCAGCUAUGACGAAGCGCAAGUGACGGUAGUAGCAGAAGAAGGACCGGCCAACUACGUGCCAGCAGCCGCGGUAA